UGGGGGAUAUUGCACAAUGGGCGAAAGCCUGAUGCAGCGACGCCGCGUGGGGGAUGAAGGCCUUCGGGUUGUAAACUUCUUUUGCUCUGAACAAGGCGCACCAUGGGGUGUGUUGAGUGUAGGGGUUGAUUAGCGCCGGCUAACUACGUGCCAGCAGCCGCGGUAAUACGUAGGGCGCGAGCGUUGUCCGGAAUUAUUGGGGGUAAAGGGCUUGUAGGUGGCUGGUUGUGUCUGUCGUGAAAGCUCAUGGCUUAACUGUGGGUUUGCGGUGGGUACGGGCUGGCUUGAGUGCAGUAGGGGAGGCUGGAAUUCCUGGUGUAGCGGUGGAAUGCGCAGAUAUCAGGAGGAAUACCGGUGGCGAAGGCGGGUCUCUGGGCUGUUACUGACACUGAGGAGCGAAAGCAUGGGGAGCGAACAGG
rnacentral:rRNA from 1 species